UACGAAGGGGGCUAGCGUUGUUCGGAAUCACUGGGCGUAAAGCGCACGUAGGCGGAUUUUUAAGUCAGAGGUGAAAUGCCAGGGCUCAACCUUGGAACUGCCUUUGAUACUGGGGAUCUGGAGUCCGGGAGAGGUGAGUGGAACUGCGAGUGUAGAGGUGAAAUUCGUAGAUAUUCGCAAGAACACCAGUGGCGAAGGCGGCUCACUGGCCCGGUACUGACGCUGAGGUGCGAAAGCGUGGGGAGCAAACAGGA
rnacentral:rRNA from 1 species